AAUUAAAAACGGCUUCCAAAUUAAUAAAAGACAUUCCCAUUUCUGGUGUUGAAAUAUUUACUUUUCUGACCUCACAAUUUCUUUCUUCAUCCAUCUAAAAAAUUUUCAAUUCAAAUUAUCAGUCUACCCAGAGAUUUAACAAAAUUGGUCACCUGUAAUACAUCAUAUGUAGUCGGAAUACAAAAUUGGAAUAAUAGUGAGGGGGCAAAAUAUUUAUCAAAAUCUAUACUUCUAAAGUUAUAAUGUAUAGACAACAUUCUACUAAGCCCUAAAAAUGUAUCAUUGCGAUGAAAGAAAAUAAUACAAGUAUUUUAUUAUAACAUUUUAAGCAAACAAAAUAAUCACACAAUCAAUAUUUACUUUACCCCCCUCGGAAUUUUCAUGAUCAAUUUCUACUAGUGUACCAUUCUCUAGCAGUGCGAAUGCAUUUCUGGUACUGAGUGGGCCAAUAUCAUAUUCGUGAAGCAGAAACAUAAAUAUACUCCUAUUAAUGUGGAAUAUGCUGAAUUAUUCGAGUGGGCAUUGUCAAUUCAUCCAGGACUUGUUUUCCUAAGUGAAACAAGAAUUGAUUUUAAUCAAAUCAAAGUGCAUAGUUCAGAGUUUGUUUGCUGUGUGGCAUGUCUUGUUUAGAGAUUCAUCCAACGGAAUCGGGAUUCCAUUUUUUAUUUCGAUUCUAUUAAAUGUCAUCUCAAUUCACAUCGACCCUCCUCUUCAAGUUAAAUAACUAAAAAAUAAAAACUAUGACAUAAAAAACUUCAUAUCACUGUGACAGAGACACUUGAAUAAAACUUCAUAUCACUGUGACAGAGACACUUGAAUACAAAAUUAUGGAGGAAUAUUAUUAGCUGAAAUAUCAACAAAAUUGCUACAGCUCAAACAAAAUUAAACUUAACCAAAUUUAGAAAAAUAGUACCCUAUCAAAGACCUAUAUACACCUACCUACUCAAGCAAAAAAAAUUCUAUUAAUACAAAAUAUUGUUAAGCAUAGAAAAUUUUCAAUAAAAAAUAAUUAUAAUAAAAAUAUAUUAUCUGUUAACUAGUACAUCGU
rnacentral:lncRNA from 1 species